rnacentral:lncRNA from 1 species
CAGCAGAGGAGACAAUACAGAUGCCAGAAUCAGCAGCCUUCGUUUGAACAGCCCAAGAGAUCCUCACCAUGUGAAGAAUGGUGAGGUAGGCAGGCAGCAGAGACAUUCCCCUUCUCAGAGUGCCUCUCCAUCACCUCCAAAGUGCCAAAGAGAGACUUCCCCUUGGAUGCAGAUGGGAAAGCAAUGGAAGUUGCCAGUGACUAAGAGUAGUAGAAGGAAAAGUCCUUAUCUGCCUCCUGCCAGAAGGCCAAUGAUCCCCUUCUCCAGCCCCUGCUCCUCCCCACCUCUACCUCCUGGGUGGCUCAGCCAACCCACCACAAUAAAGGACCCCUUCUCCUCCCCGAUGCUGCUCACAAUCUCCAAGAAGAUACUCUCCUCCCAUCCAGAGGAUAUACUCUCCUUCCCUACAUUCAAAACGGAGUACCACCUCACCCCCAUUCCCUCCCAAGUGAAGGGCAGCACCAUCUCCACCACCAAAGUGCCAGGUCUCCCGCUCUCCACCUCCUAAACAAAGAACACCCCCCCCAUUCCCCCAGUCACCAAGAGACACUCAGCCUCCUUAUCUUCAAAGCAUAGGAAAGGGUCUUCCCCAGGCCACUCCACCUGGGAUGCCCAAUCACCACAACCAGACCUCAAGCCCUCUCCUUGUAUGAAGAGGAACUUCAGAGUCAUUCCAAGGAAGGCAGUCUCCAUCUCCAAGUACUAGGCCUAUUAGGAGAGUCUCCAGAACUCUGGAGCCCUAAAAGAUAAAAAUGGCUGCCUCCUUGAGCCCUCAGUAGUUAAGAAGGGUUUCAUCUUCCAGAUCUGUCUCUGGAUCUCCUGAGCCAGCAGCUAAAAAGCCUUCAGCACCUCCCUCUCCUGUGCAGUCUCAGUCACCCUCCACAAAUUGGUCACCUGUGUUACCAGUCACAAACUGGUCACCUGCAGUACCAACACCAAGCCCAUCCCUUGCCAGGAACUCUGGUCAAGAAGGAGGUGGAAAGAAAAAGGAGGAGGAGGAGGACAAGAAACACAAGAAGCACCUAGACACAAGAAGGAGAAGGCUGAGGCCCUGGCCACCCCAGCUGCUGCAACCCCUGCAGCUGUUUCUGUUGUCAUCACCACAUCAGCACAGGAAGAGCCUGCAGCAGCACCAGAGCCCAGGAAGGAGUCUGAGAGUGAAGCUGAAGAUGACAACCUUGAUGACUUAGAGAGGCACUUAUGGGAGAAGGCCCUAGGAUCCAUGCGGAAGGUUCAAGUGUCCCCAGUCCUAG